rnacentral:lncRNA from 1 species
GUAUGCUCAAAAGGAGAAAAAGGAGCAGAGAUAAAAGCGCCUCCAUUAAAACGCGACAGCGAGAGGAGAUAAAAGAAAAAAAAAAACGGUUACACGUGUAGGAAAAAAUGAUGCAGGAAGGAGCGCGUAUCCGAACGCUCCCCACACGUGGGUGGUAAGCAUCUCUAAAACAUUUGGCGCGGUCAACGAUGUACGUUGACUGCACUGUGUUCAUUCAUGCACUAGCGCAUCAUCAUGGUAUGCUCUAUAAAGCGCCGCGCCGCCCCAGCCGCGAUAGAGAGCGUGGUGGCGGGGCCCACUGUCAACAUUAAUAAUUGCGAAGGGGGUCGAAAGAGGCCACAUCGCUGCUUCAAAAGGAGGACACGUGGAUCUGACACCAGCAACUACCGAAGAGGCGGCGUUUUCCUUGACGCCGUUUGCAUGUCUGCGUGCCGCGCUAACGGAGCGGUUGGCAGAGGUAACGGAGUUGGAUGGAGAAGAUGAUUACGAAGAAUUUGUCGGCACGCUCUGCCUCCUCGCCGCGUGAGAUGGAUGAAGAUCUGAAGAAUAAACUAGAAAAAGUGAAUGUGUUGAAAUCCGUCAGAUGAAUCAGACGGUGGAGAUGGGGCACAGUGAAACGGUGACACGUGGUGCUUUGGAUCCCUGGCGGGAGACACGCUUGUGCAUACGGCACCAUCCCAAAAUAUCAUCAUGUAUGUACUGCCGUCCUUCUUUUCUCUUCCACCACAGAUAUUAUUAUUAUAUUUAUUACUAAUUUAAUAUUAUAAAACACAAUUUCUGUGUAUUAUAAUAUUCAAAUAGUUUUUUUUUUUUUUUUUUAAUUUUCUGCCACAAUUCUUUUCAUAAAAAAUACAUGAGUCUCGGAACCCACAAUGCGUGAUCCUCCAAAUCUGAUGAAAAGUAAAAUAAAAAAGGGGGAAAUUUAAUUGAUAUCUUUUUUUUAUUAAACCAUCUGUAUGUUGUUUGAGAGCCCCUUAU